UCCGUAUCACUCCUCCUUUGAAAGUUUGAGUCACCAUCUUCAAUUCUUCAUCUCAAUUUCUUGAUCCAAAUCAAAAGCAGUUUGUGAUUGGAGAAGGAAGCGGAGGUAAGAGCAGAGCUGCUGCAGAGCGGAGAUUGAUUCAAACAAGUACAAGAGCUGAAGAGCAUCUCAUCUGGUACAAGAGCUGAAAGAGCAAGGAGUCAAGGGAUUUUCCGUUGACUUUGAAUUUUAAUUUCAAUGUAUGAUUUUACAAGAAAAACAACAAAAAAAUCAUAUUUUAUAA